GAGAAGCUUGCUUCUCUUGAGAGCGGCGGACGGGUGAGUAAUGCCUAGGAAUCUGCCUGGUAGUGGGGGAUAACGCUCGGAAACGGACGCUAAUACCGCAUACGUCCUACGGGAGAAAGCAGGGGACCUUCGGGCCUUGCGCUAUCAGAUGAGCCUAGGUCGGAUUAGCUAGUUGGUGAGGUAAUGGCUCACCAAGGCGACGAUCCGUAACUGGUCUGAGAGGAUGAUCAGUCACACUGGAACUGAGACACGGUCCAGACUCCUACGGGAGGCAGCAGUGGGGAAUAUUGGACAAUGGGCGAAAGCCUGAUCCAGCCAUGCCGCGUGUGUGAAGAAGGUCUUCGGAUUGUAAAGCACUUUAAGUUGGGAGGAAGGGCAGUAAAUUAAUACUUUGCUGUUUUGACGUUACCGACAGAAUAAGCACCGGCUAACUCUGUGCCAGCAGCCGCGGUAAUACAGAGGGUGCAAGCGUUAAUCGGAAUUACUGGGCGUAAAGCGCGCGUA
rnacentral:rRNA from 1 species